AGUUGCAACAUCCCCGUGGACUGGGUGACGGUUUUUUAGUGAACCGCCGCAGCGAAUCCACUGCAACU
rnacentral:sRNA from 12 species